rnacentral:lncRNA from 1 species
UCACAUCAAUUACAUCCCAGCUCCUUUGUUCUAACUGGGGUGAUCUGAGCCGGAUCACCCCUACCAGAUCACCCCAGUUUAAGUUUCUUUGUUAUGCAUGCUUUCCUUUGUUCUGUAACAUUUUGGCGGGAAUGACAAAUCCAGUAUAAAACUUAUAAUUAAUUAUACGGAGAAGACUAUCUAUCAAAAUCCACGUAGAAAAAAUCCAGUGUAUAUGCUGGGGUUCGAACUCAAGACCUUUAGCAUAUCAAGCCACGACACAUACCACUACACCAGGACGACUGGAUACGAACUAUCAGAAAUUUAACAUACUUAAAGGAAGCAAGAUAUUUUUAUAACUGGGGCGAGUUGGCAGACCUUUACUCAGUGGGGUUUAAACCCUUUUCGUUAAAUAAAUGAGUUGUAAGACUGAUUGUUCAAUUUGAUUUUACACUUUUUUAAAGUUGGGCGAGUCGGUUACAAGAGUGGGGCGAUUUUUUCAUAAAGUGGCGAUAUAGUGUGGGCCGAUUGGCCAGUGGGACGAGUUGACAUUAUUUGAUAUCUACUCAUCGUGUUUGGGGGUCAUAAAGGGUAUACAUCAUAUAGUAAUAUAUAAAGUAUAUUAUAAUGGUUGUGUGGCGUUCUAAACUAGAUUUUAUGAAUUGUAAAUGGUUUUUCGUCUAUUCUUAAUCAGCUGGGAUGUAAAAUAGUUAUCCCAUUCGGACUUGGUGUGUCAGUGUAAGAUCACCCUCUGGCCUCCGGCCAUCGGGAUGAUCUUACACUGACACAC